rnacentral:rRNA from 1 species
ACGGGAGGCAGCAGUGGGGAAUAUUGGGCAAUGGGCGCAAGCCUGACCCAGCGACGCCGCGUGAGGGAAGAAGGUCUUCGGAUUGUAAACCUCUUUCAGCAGGGAAGAUCAAGAGACGGUACCUGCAGAAGAAGUCACGGCUAACUACGUGCCAGCAGCCGCGGUAAUACGUAGGUGGCGAGCGUUAUCCGGAAUUACUGGGUGUAAAGGGAGCGUAGACGGCUUUGCAAGUCUGAUGUGAAAGCCCGGGGCUCAACCCCGGAACUGCAUUGGAAACUGUAGAGCUAGAGUGCAGGAGAGGUAAGCGGAAUUCCUAGUGUAGCGGUGAAAUGCGUAGAUAUUAGGAGGAACACCAGUGGCGAAGGCGGCUUACUGGACUGUAACUGACGUUGAGGCUCGAAAGCGUGGGGAGCAAACAGGAUUAGAUACCCUGGUA